rnacentral:misc_RNA from 1 species
UACGUCAAUCCUAGAAACCAACAAAAUAGGAUCGAGCGUCCUAUUUCAUUAUUCCAUGCUAAUGUAUUCAAGCGUUAGCCUGCUUUAAACACUCUAAUUUUUUCAAAGUAACAGUCCAGAUUCCCUGCAACACCAAAUUAAUGGCAUUACAGUUUAUCAGGAAGGAGGAAUCAGAAAGACCAGUACAUACCGGUGGCAUGACCAGCC